CAACCGCGGUUCUGAAUCUCAUCAUCCCCCUCGACACAUCUUGUUUCAGCCCUAGUUGCAUACCGUUCAUCCAUUCGUUGUUUUCAGGGGUUACUGCACCGUGUGCGAGACCGUUGCCGGCAAAGACAUCUUCAUCUUGUCAUAUCGAUCCGUUAAUCAUUAUUUUCCAGUAAAAGUUUUGUUUUCCGACAUGGUAUGUGUGAGCAGGUUCUUCGAGUGUAAGACGUUGCAGCAAUGGACAAAGAACAGAUCAAGGAACCGCCGUCGUUGGUGGCCAAUGGAACUUUACCUGCACCUUCCGCGCCUACGGGAUCGCACUUGGAGUUGCCGCCCAACCUCGCUAACGGGUUGGAACACAAGAGGAGCGAUUCGUAGUAAACUGUACACACUAUGACAACCUCCUCUUUGGUAGAACGCCUAAACCAAAUUGAAGCUGACAUUACUGAAGUUAGAUUCAUUAUCCGAAACCAAAAGCUCCUCAAUGAGGAGUAUGUGGAACUGGUGAAAGAGAUGAUAAAUUAGCAAGCUGUAUCACCCCACAUUGGAAGUAACUCUCCAAAAUCGGGUAAGACCAACAUGACCGAAGGCACCAUUGGAAAAAGUGGACCAACCUUACGUACAUACAAGCGAAAGAAAAAUGUAAAUCCCAUCACAACUGGAAAUGACCCUGGCUAUCUCCCAAUUCCCACACCGCCAUCUAGUCCAGAAGGCAGUACUUUCUGCUUCAAGCGCAUAAACAAACAGAGGUGUUCUAGAUCGACCCCUGCCCCAAAGGGAGAAUCCACAAGGGGAAGGAAGAAACUGUUUCUCUCCAGAAACAUUUCUGGGGUGGUUCGGAGCAAGGGAGAAAAGACACACAUCACUAGCAGUUCUAUCCCAGCAGUCCAAUAUGCCGAGCAACAAAAUUUCCUGUAAACUCGGCAUGUCAAUAGGAGCCAGUGGGGGAGAGAGAUUGGGAAAAAUAUUCCCUGUGGUAUGCCGUUAACUUUCUUCCCCACCAAGGACAUGAAGAUUGUAGGCCUUGAUCUAUGCGCUGCUGCGUACAUAUUCAACACGAAACUUGACCAAGACGAGUUUCUUGUCCAGAGCCCGCACUGUGCUGUUACCAGGGGUGCUCUAAGAUCUCUGGAGCCUAGGAAGCCCGUGGUCGACGACGUGCUGAUCCUUCUUGCCUACAUGCUAGCUAGAAACUCCACUAGGAUACAUUGGUUCUUGCCUACAACCUUUUUAGUGAGUGAAAAUACUAAUUUAACCUGAAAACAAUAACAAAAAACAUUACCCUUAAUUUGAACGGAUAAUUGAGUGCGUUAGUAUUUCACCCGUUUAGCCUAAUUUUAUUUAUUGUAAGACCUCACAUGGUGGGGUUUUUUUACUCCGAAACCUAUAAAUUACUUUGAAAUUAUAGCAAUUGAUUUGUUUCAUUAUGAACCUCAUGAAAAUUUUUUACGUUCAUCGUUUAACUUUGUCGUUACAGCAAAUUGCAACCGAAAAGGGAUCUGUUUUGCAUGCCACACUGAAGGCGAUCCGGGAGGAUUUCAUGGGCAAAGCCAACUGGGUUUGCAAGGUUAGAUCUGAUAAUAUUAGUAGUGUUGUCGUGGACACCAAAUUUAUGCAGCAUGUGAAUAUUCCAUAAUUAGUUUCCGCUGGCAAAUUUACUAUCCCAUUUGGUGCGACGGACAUUGGUUUCUACUGGUGAUUGAUGUCAUUCGGAGGGAGCCUGUGUACCUAGAUUCCCUUUCCUCAGCAGAUGACAGACCCAAGCGGCUCAGGCAGCUUAAAAAUGUGGCUAUCUUCUUGGAGGAAAUGUUGGACAGUGAUGAUUGGUAUGACGACCAGAAAAAUUCUAGGAUUCUGUGCAGUGACUAUGAGAUAAAGGAGCCUAAGGUGACCAGGCAGGACCUCGGAAGGUAUUUUCUGGCUGAAAUUGAGGGAUCUGAGCAAAAAUCUGAUUUAGAGACUGAAAAGGACUGCAGAUGCUGUUGGAUUCUGACUUCCCUGCACUCGAAGUGGAUUUUCUGGAGCUACAGAAGCCCAAUUGGCGCGCUCUCAACGGCGUUGGAAAGUAGACAUCCUGGGCUUUCCAGCAAUAUAUGAUAGUCCAUACUUUGCCCAAGAUUUGAUGGCCCAAACCGGCGUUCAAAGUCACCCUCAGAAAUUCCAGCGUUAAACGCCGGAACUGGCACAAGAAUGGGAGUUAAACGCCCAAACUGGCAUAAAAGCUGGCGUUUAACUCCAAGGAGAGUCUCUACACGAAAAUGCUUUAUUGCUCAGCCCAAGCACACACCAAGUGGGCCCGGAAGUGGAUUUCUAUGACAUUUACUCAUCUUUGUACACCCUAGGCUACUAGUUUUUCUAUAAGUAGGACCUUUUACUAUGGUAUUAGACAUCUUGGUAGCUCUCUUUGAGUUUCAUGCUAUCUUAGAUCAUUUGGGAGGCUGGCCAUUCGGCCAUGCCUAGACCUUGUUCUUAUGUAUUUUCAACGGUGGAGUUUCUACACACCAUAGAUUAAGGUGUGGAGCUCUGCUGUACCUCGAGUAUUAAUGCAAUUACUAUUGUUCU